rnacentral:pre_miRNA from 1 species
GGGGGGAGGCCGGAUCCUGGGCUGUGUCCCCGCGCUCUGGGCUCCCGAGCCUGCGCUGUUGGAUUCGCGCUCCCGGGCCGCAGCCCCCU